rnacentral:rRNA from 1 species
UACGUAGGUGGCAAGCGUUGUCCGGAAUUAUUGGGCGUAAAGCGCGCGCAGGCGGUCCUUUAAGUCUGAUGUGAAAGCCCACGGCUCAACCGUGGAGGGUCAUUGGAAACUGGGGGACUUGAGUACAGAAGAGGAAAGCGGAAUUCCACGUGUAGCGGUGAAAUGCGUAGAGAUGUGGAGGAACACCAGUGGCGAAGGCGGCUUUCUGGUCUGUAACUGACGCUGAGGCGCGAAAGCGUGGGGAGCAAACAGGG